GGUCUCAGUUCAGAUUGCAGGCUGCAACCCGCCUGCAUGAAGUCGGAAUUGCUAGUAAUGGCAGGUCAGCAUACUGCCGUGAAUACGUUCCCGGGCCUUGUACACACCGCCCGUCACACCAUGAGAGUUGGGAAUACCCGAAGCCUGUGAGCUAACUCUACGAGGCAGCAGUCGAAGGUAGAAUCAAUGAUUGGGGUGAAGUCGUAACAAGGUAAC
rnacentral:rRNA from 1 species